AUGUCAGAAGUAAACAUUAACUGCUCGGCGAUCUCUCUAUUAAUAUAUAUUGCAGCAAACGCUGUCUGCGUGAAGUUUUGAAAAGUUUAACCACACUUG